ACCAGCUUGGAACUAUGGUCCCAAUGAGGACAAACAUUGGAUUAUACGUCAGGCAAGCUCGAUGACAAAAGUGGAGAGAGAUUUCACCGAUGCACUGCAGAGAAAACGUUUGAUCACGUUGCUUUCUGUUGAUGAUGCCAUAGAGAAGCUUUGUCGGGAAUUGGAAUUGUUAGGAGAGUUAGAUAACACCUAUAUACUGAUGACUUCUGAUCAUGGCUAUCAUCUUGGUCAAUUCAACAUGCUGAAAGGGAAAUCCAAUGCAUAUGAUACUGAUAUCAGAGUACCGUUUUAUAUCAGAGGCCCUGAUGUACCUCAUGGUAUCAGAGUUCCAAAUAUAGUGUUGAACAUAGACCUGGCACCUACCAUGUUGGAUAUGGCGGGGGUGAAUAUUCCACCGCACAUGGAUGGAACAUCAAUCAUGAAAUUAUUCAAACCUAUAUCAAACUAUAAGAUUGCCAGGAAAAGCAAGAAAUGGAAAUAUAUCGGGAAUGAGCCCUGGAGAGAGUCAUUCCUAGUGGAGAAAACGAGAUCACCAGAAGAAAUGGGACGCUAUAUGGAACGUGUGAACAGACCCACCAAAUCAGAGUUACUGAAACAAGAGUGUGAAAACCCAGAUCUUCAACCACCGUGCAAAUGGGGACAGUCCAAGGUGUGUGUCGAGGAUCCGGACGGAUCCCUCCACCUGCGCAAGUGUCGUGCGAAGAGUAAGAAGAAGUGCGUUUGUACCCCGCCCCCUGUGGUGACUGGAGGUUUCAAGGACAUGUCCAAGACCGAGAGGAGACAGCAGAGAAAGAUCUUGAAACUCCAAAGCAACUCCAAUAAGGGUGGUUCUAAAUCCAGGAGUUCUGUACGAGGGAAGAGAGAUACCCCUGCAGAGGAUGAAGAGGAUGAUAUCAACAACGAGGUCAUUGACAAUGCGGGUCUGGAGACUAUGUGUGAGAUCCUACAGAAUGAGACAAUCAUCUGUGAUAAUGAGGUAUUUUCUUCCAGGCAGGCUUGGAAGGAGCACAGGAAAUCGGUAGAGAACCAGCUGAGAUACCUGAGGCGCUACAUGGACAAACUCAAGGAAAUCAAGACUUUCCUGAAGAAUUACCGCCCAGAAAAGGAGCUCCUGGACACAUUCCCUGGGGAGAAAACGGCCUUCAGCAUCGAGCUUUCAGAAGAACAAGAUUUCCUCACAGAUGGCGGUGAAGACAUCCCAAGAGGUCAGAGUACAGCAACUCCUCCUCAAGAAAGAACUGUUUCAUCAAGCGUCCUGAGAAACUUUGAGAACAUUGGACAAAACACUGUCUCAGACACCCAGAGAGAGGACGUGGAAGCAGAUGGUGAACAGAGAGGAACAGGCCCUGCCAAGAACAAAGACAGGACUAGAGGGGAAGACCCCAAUGGAGGGCGUCCUAAUGGGAAAAAGGAGCCAGCAACGGAUCCUGAAGUGGGAGUCCUCGGGGAGGAGUGUACAUGUAAGGAUGUUGAGGUGUUAGAAGUGGAGGAUCAGGAUCUAGAGAUUGAGAUUCCCAUGAUCGAUCAGGAGGACAUCGUUGAUCCUGAGGAUGACGACGAUGAUGAUGACGGCUCCAAGGGUGGUGAAGACAAUGUGGAGGAUUAUAUUGAGAGUCCAUUGCUACAGAUGCAGAGGGAUGACCAAAACCAAGUUCUGACCAAGUCGGAGAAAUUGAAGGCCAAAGCCAGAGCUAAGAAGCUGAAGAGGAAAGUCAUCAUACAGGAGAGGAAACCUUGCAAACAAACCAGGCUCAGCUGCUUCCAUUUCGACAAUAAUCACUGGAAGACUCCCCCAUUCUGGACUGAGGGCACUAUCUGUGCCUGCCUCAACACCAUGAACAACUCUUACUACUGCGUCAGGACUAUCAACGCAACGCAUGACUUCUUAUAUUGUGAAUAUGUCACAGAUUUUGUCGAGUACUUUGAUAUGAGGCUCGGUGUAGAUCCACACCAGCUUGUCAACAUAGUGUCCAGUCUAGAUCCUGUCACGCAGGCAGAACUACAUGACCAAAUAGAUGUAUUGAGGACGUGUAGAGGGAAAAAAUGUUCACCAUCAUCGAAGAGGAGAAAAGGCUCAAGAAAAAAUGGCGUAUCACAGCCUACAUCAUUCUGGCAGACGUUACCCCAGACGAGCAGGUAUCGACCGUAACCCUCGCAAAAGAAAACUGCUCCUCAAGCUGCUGAUGCCUAACCUAACCAAAAAUGUCGAGAACUAUGGAACGGCUGGGAAGGAUAGCCCUUCGAUAAAGAGCUUCAUUACCCAUGCAGUCACUGGUGUCAACAUGUCAAUACCGACAGGAUUAUUAUGCAUUCUGCAUUAGUGUUUUGUUUUAUCCCAUCGUGAUAAUGGACUGCAAUACAUCCUUUGCAUGUUUUAUAUCGUCAGUGAUCUUCGGAAGUCCAUUUUCAACUCUUAAUGGUAUCUACCUUCCUUUCAGAUUUUUAAGCUUGUAAGAUUUAUUUCAUUGUGACCAAAUUGUACAAAAACCCAAACCUCUCCCAAUUUUAGAAAAAGAGGGAGGGUUGCUUUUGUAUCAGGGGAGGUUUAUUUUACCUUUCGUUAAAUAUUAAUUUUCCAUUUUUUUUUGCAAUAUGAAGUCUAAUCAAAGUCUAAUAACAUUAUAACAAGAUAAGCUUCACUUUGCUUUGAGAAUUUUUUUUCUCAUAUAAAAGAAAGAAUAUACAUUUCUUCAAAAUAUACAAUGAAAUUAAAAUCAUGAUUUCCAUGUAGUACAUAUAUUAUAUGUAACUAAUAUACCUUUGUGUGAUUAUAAUUUCAAUCCAUUAUAUUUUUUUCAUAAAGGAACAUGACAUGUUUGAAAGAUAUUGAGCAUUUGAUUGAUUACUUUAAAAAAUAUUCAAUAUCUUUUAAACAAGUACCAGUAUAUCAUGUUCCUUUAUGGAAAAUAACAUGAAUAAAAGAGGAAGUAAUUGAUAAUUUGAUUAUCUAACAACAUUUGUGACAUCUGUAUAUCCACCGUCCAAUCUUGAUAAUAUGAACCAUGUUGUGUCCAUUUAGUUGAGCACUGAAUUUGAGAUGUAUUCAUUAUAUAUUUACAAAAUUAAUGAUAGGCAAUGUUUUUUUUUACAAUAGAUUAAAGCAGCAAAUGUAUUGUUCUGUAUGAGAUAACUAUUGUAUGAGCUCCUUUAUUGUUCUGUAUGGGAUAACUAUUGUAUUAGCCCCUAUUUGAAUUAUGUGAUGUCAAAUAGCCAUGUAAAUGGUUGGAUUUAUAUUAAACAAGUCAUACAAGUAAUUUUCACCAACAUAUUUUAUACUCUUAGUGGGUGUUGCAAGAAAAUAUUUGCGAUCAAUUGCAAAUAUUCUGUUGCAAUUUUACAACGUUAGUUAUAGCAAAUCAGAUUAAACUUCUUGUUUCAAGGAGCAGAUUAGCAAUCGACCAUUAAUUUGCAAUUAACUGCAAGACAUAUGAUUGAUUUAGGGACCAAAAAUAGACUUGCAAAUGAUCACAAGUUCCUUGCAACACCCCAUUAGAAUGACUUUGAAGUUGUAACCCAAAAGUUUUGGGCAGAAUAUAUUUUAAAACAUACUUUCAUAGCAUUUACAGAAAUGCAGCUUUAAUUCACAAGUCAAUAAAAUCUCUCUAAAAUUCAUUGUCUGAGAUUGUUUAAAAAAAUGUUUUGAUCUGUAUCAACAAAAUCAGUGUAAUAAGUGAUACUGAUAAACGAUACAUAUGCUUCUAUACUGCAGCUCAUAUUAGGAAUCUGCAUUAACUUUGACUGUACAUAGUUGACAAUGUGAACUAUAUGAGGCAUAUUACAUUGUCAUGGUCUAAUUUAUAUUCACCAUUUGAUCUCCCUUCUACGACAUGUAUGUUAUCGCAAGUGGUUUGAGUGGGUUAUUUUUUUUUACAUAUACAUUUGUAAGUAUAAGUAAAGUAUUUAUUAUACAUUUUAUAAAUGUAACUAGCAUCCAAUCAUCUUAAUACUCAGUAAGACAAAUAAUUUGAUUCUUGGAUUCCUACAAUGUGUGUUCUUAUAAUGCUGCCAUAAGUAGAAUUCUGAAUAUCAAGAAUAGUUUUGUAAAUUGUGAACUAUAUUGUAAUCCAACUCAAUUUUGAUGUUCUUUCCUUAAUGUAGCAUGAUUAUACUGAAGUUGAGUAAGAUGUUUCUUGCAAUAGUAUCUGUAAUUCUUCUGUUGUUAUUGUAAAAAAAUACCCAUUACCAUAUAGGGCACAAUGUAUUCAAGCGAGUUCCAAAUACCGAUAUCGUAUAUGUUUUUGUGAUCAUUAUUAUAAGGGAUGUGUUGUAUUUUGUAUGAUUCUAUUAAGCAAUAUAUGACUAUUGUAAUGAAGAGAUCCUUUUCUAUGCAAUUUCUUAUAACUCUUCCUUUCAAAAUUAAGAUAUGCAACAUGGAAUCUCUACCUUGUUUUAAGGAAAGUGGAAUUUUCCUUAUUCGAGUGAUGAUCAACCCUAUAACCAUACUUUAAUAUAUCAUAUCUAUGAUUUGUUUUUGAUAUAACAUAUUUGUUAUAUAUUUAAGAAUUUGAUGGUUCUGCACAAAAUGGUGAGAGCCUCAAAGCCUGUAUUAAAUUGUAGUAAAUCAAAACGUAAUUCAAAGUUGGAUUUUGUUUUGUUGCCUGAUAAAAUUGAAAGAGUGUAUACAAAAUGAUGUAAGGAAGAUGCAAUUUAAAAUCUGAUAUGUGUAAAAUUUACAAUUAAAGUGUCGGAAAACGAAA